rnacentral:rRNA from 1 species
AACGUAGGUGGCAAGCGUUAUCCGGAUUUACUGGGCGUAAAGCGUGUGCAGGCGGGAUCCCAAGUGGUGUAUGAAAGCACCCGGCUCAACCGGGUGAGGUUAUGCCAGACUGGGGUUCUGGAGGCUGAGAGAGGGACAUGGAAUUCCGGGUGUAGUGGUGAAAUGCGUAGAGAUCCGGAGGAACUCCAGAGGCGAAGGCGGUGUCCUGGCUCAGACCUGACGCUCAGACACGAAAGCAUGGGUAGCGAACGGG